CUUGAACCCUGCACCCUGCACCCUGCACCCUGUGGCGCUCAUGGACUUGCUACUACAGGCACAGAGGAAUCGCAUCUGAUUGAUAGCCAGAGGAGGUAAUGGCUGCGAAUGUUUGUUGGAGGACUCUCAUUGAAUAUCUCGGAGAUCAGCUUGGGAAUGCUUUCAGCCGGUUCGGCAAAAUUCUUGAAGCUCAGGUACCCUUUUGCCGGAGAUCGCUUUGAUAGAUAUGAUGUUAGUGACCGUUAUCUUCAAAAUGGCUAUGUCAAAGACAGUGGCUACAAUAGGGAUAUUGGUCCUCGGAGUGGUGGCAAUGAUAAUGUAAUAACUCAAGUCUACCGCUAGCACAUAUUGUCCUCUUUGGGCUUUCCUUUUUGAGUUUUCCUUCAAGGUUUUUAAAA